UACGUAGGGGGCAAGCGUUGUCCGGAAUCAUUGGGCGUAAAGAGCGUGUAGGCGGCCAGACAAGUCCGUUGUGAAAACUAGAGGCUUAACCUCUAGACGUCGAUGGAAACUGUCUGGCUAGAGUCCGGAAGAGGAGAAUGGAAUUCCUGGUGUAGCGGUGAAAUGCGCAGAUAUCAGGAAGAACACCCGUGGCUAAGGCGGUUCUCUAGUACGGUACUGACGCUGAGACGCGAAAGCGUGGGGAGCGAACAGG
rnacentral:rRNA from 1 species